rnacentral:rRNA from 1 species
GACAGAGGAUGCGAACGUUGCUCGGAAUUACUGGGCGUAAAGCGCGUGCAGGCGGCCUCGCGAGUCGGGUGUGAAAGCCCGGGGCUCAACCCCGGAAGUGCACACGAUACUACGAGGCUGGAGUCGUGGAGAGGCGAGCGGAAUUCCCGGUGUAGAGGUGAAAUUCGUAGAUAUCGGGAGGAACACCAGUGGCGCAGGCGGCUCGCUGGACACAGACUGACGCUGAGACGCGAAAGCGUGGGUAGCAAACAGG